rnacentral:rRNA from 1 species
CCUACGGGAGGCAGCAGUGGGGAAUAUUGGACAAUGGGCGAAAGCCUGAUCCAGCCAUGCCGCGUGUGUGAAGAAGGCCUUCGGGUUGUAAAGCACUUUCAGUGGGGAAGAAAGCCUUGGGGCUAAUACCCUCGAGGAAGGACAUCACCCACAGAAGAAGCACCGGCUAACUCCGUGCCAGCAGCCGCGGUAAUACGGAGGGUGCGAGCGUUAAUCGGAAUUACUGGGCGUAAAGCGCGCGUAGGCGGUCUGAUAAGCCGGUUGUGAAAGCCCCGGGCUCAACCUGGGAACGGCAUCCGGAACUGUCAGGCUAGAGUGCAGGAGAGGAAGGUAGAAUUCCCGGUGUAGCGGUGAAAUGCGUUGAGAUCGGGAGGAAUACCAGUGGCGAAGGCGGCCUUCUGGACUGACACUGACGCUGAGGUGCGAAAGCGUGGGUAGCAAACAGGAUUAGAUACCCGAGUAGUC